UACGAAGGUGGCAAGCGUUGUUCGGAUUUACUGGGCGUACAGGGCGCGUAGGCGGUUGGAUAAGCCCUCCGUGAAAUCUCCAGGCUUAACCUGGAAAGUGCAGAGGGGACUGUUCAGCUAGAGGAUGGGAGAGGAGCGCGGAAUUCCCGGUGUAGCGGUGAAAUGCGCAGAUAUCAGGAGGAACACCGGCGGCGAAGGCGGGUCUCUGGGCCAUAACUGACGCUGAGGAGCGAAAGCGUGGGGAGCGAACAGG
rnacentral:rRNA from 1 species